rnacentral:rRNA from 1 species
UACGAAGGGGGCUAGCGUUGUUCGGAAUUACUGGGCGUAAAGGGCGCGUAGGCGGUGUGUCAAGUCAGGCGUGAAAGCCCCGGGCUCAACCUGGGAACAGCGCUUGAGACUGGCACGCUCGAGUUCGGGAGAGGAUGGUGGAAUUCCCAGUGUAGAGGUGAAAUGCGCAGAUAUCAGGAGGAACACCGGUGGCGAAGGCGGGUCUCUGGGCCGUAACUGACGCUGAGGAGCGAAAGCGUGGGGAGCAAACAGG